CCAUAUUGGCUUCUUUCACGCGGCAAAUGGGUCAAGUUUCUUCCUUGCCUGUUUGUGGCUUCAUAGCUCAUUUCUUUUGAUCUCUGUAAAUAUCACAUUGUCUGGAUGGACCAGUGUCUUUAUCCACUCACCUAUUGGAAGGCAUCUAAACUUUGACAGUUCUAAGUAAAGCGGCUAGAAGCGUUCGUGUGCAGGGUUUGGGGUGGAUGUAAAUGUUCAGCUCAUUUCAACCAGGCCUUUGGAUUCAAACUACUUGGAACCACACCCACCGCUGACUUUCCUGUGUCCCGGUCUGCGAAUGGCUGGUCGGCUGCGAAUGACUUCUCGGCCUUCGUAAUUGCGUUCCCUACCGGGUCUUCUCGUGGUCGGUGGCGGACAGUGGGUGUAACCGCGGAGGAGGCCGUGCAGCGCUCGCCUCGGAUCCUUGGCGGCCGGCCUCCGGGGCACUGACCAGCUCGUGUGAAGGGAACACUCUGGGUGGUUUACUGCUUAGGAUGGCCACUAGCACGCUCUUCAGGCAAUAACUUGAGAAAAUGCCAACGUUCGAGAACUCUAAGUCUCAAUGAUGUUUUGCCUGUCGACUGGAACUGGAAUAUCUGACCGUAUUACAGUCUACACUCAGCAUGUGACAAACCGUUUCCAAAUCCUCUAAUAACAGGCUUCUAAUUCAGUAUGCCAUGGGAUAAAUACUGCAGAUCUUUGACACUGAAGGAGAAAGCUUUCAGUAAUUUUAAGUCCAGGGAUGAUGAAUGUCAGAAAUGUAAUUUCUAAAAUUGGUAGUGGUGCUUUUAUUAAAUUCAAUUCACACCGUGAAUGUCCUUCAAAGAACAUGCAAAAAAAAUGUUUUUUAAUCCAAUUAUUGUUUAUGACUAAAACCUAAGUUUCAACAGAAAUCCAGCUAAACUUUGAAACUCAGAGUUAAAACAUUAAGAAAAUGUUCUGCUCUUGUGUAUGGAUAGAUGAUAAUGUUGUAGACCAAUAGCGUUUGCCAUUUGUGACCAAAUAGUGGUAAAAAGUAAGGCCAUGAAUUACUGGGCUUUUGAUUAGCAUUAAAAUUCUGAAAAUUAAAAAAAAAAAAA